AUGGUGUCAGACCUCAUUGACACGGAUAACUGGUCCUGGCGACAGGAGCUAGUUAGGUCAAACUUCAUUGCCCCAGAUGCGGAUGCGAUCCUCAACAUACCAAUCAGGCGUGGAGGUGGUGAUGAUUUCUUUGCUUGGGCCUUUGAGACUUCAGGUAACUACACAGUUAAAUCGGCGUACCUUGCUCUAAUGACUCAGAACGAGCGUCUUGCUCUAGGAGAAGGGACGGAUACCAGAGCUUCAAGAGAUGAAUCACUACUGUGGAGUGCUCUGUGGAAACUCAAAGUUAUCCCAAAGGUGCGUGUGUUUUGGUGGCGUGUACUUCGACGGAUACUGCCUGAUGAGUGCACACUCAAACACCGCCAUAUUGCAGUCAUCGACAGAUGCAAUGUUUGCUUGGCCAAGGAGGAAGAUCUCAUGCAUGCACUUAUUCAUUGCACACAUGCACAGCGCUUCUGGAAUGAAGCGUUUGCUUGGUUUGGCAUCAGAUUACCUCCACUUCACCCGGACUCUUGGUCUCGGGAUAUCUUAUGUGAUACUCGGUUUUCUGAGGAUGAUCGACCAAAAAUCAUCACCAUCAUGUGGACGAUCUGGCACUCUCGCAACCGAGUUAAACAUGGAGAAGAAGGUAGGGGCCCGACAGCAGCUCUCCGAGCCACUAAGGAAGCCCUAGCCCUACUUGAGAUGCCACGCAACACACCGAUUGUUCUUCCUGGACAUGGGUGGAGACCACCAGAACAAGGCGUGAUCAAGCUCACAACUGAUGGGGCAUUGAAUUUUGCAGAUGGAAGGGGGGUGCAGGUGGUGUAG
rnacentral:rRNA from 1 species